CAGCAGCCGCCGCGGGAAUACGUAGGAUGCGAGCGUUAAUCGGAAUUACUGGGCGUAAAGCGUGCGCAGGCGGUUGUGUAAGACAGGUGUGAAAUCCCCGGGCUUAACCUGGGAACUGCGCUUGUGACUGCACAGCUAGAGUAUGGCAGAGGGGGGUGGAAUUCCACGUGUAGCAGUGAAAUGCGUAGAGAUGUGGAGGAACACCGAUGGCGAAGGCAGCCCCCUGGGCCAAUACUGACGCUCAUGCACGAAAGCGUGGGGAGCAAACAGGAUUAGAUACCCCAGUAGUCCCUGUCUCUUAUAC
rnacentral:rRNA from 1 species